rnacentral:rRNA from 1 species
AGAGUUUGAUCAUGGCUCAGGACGAACGCUGGCGGCGUGCUUAACACAUGCAAGUCGAACGGAGAUUUGAAUAAGCUUGCUUAGACAAAUCUUAGUGGCGGACGGGUGAGUAACGCGUGGGUAACCUACCCAUUAAGCCGGGACAACCCUUGGAAACGAGGGCUAAUACCGGAUACGCUUAAGAGCUGGCAUCAGCGCUU